GUUAGGAAUAUUGGACAAUGGGCGCAAGCCUGAUCCAGCCAUGCCGCGUGAACGAUGAAGGCCUUCGGGUUGUAAAGUUCUUUAGCCGAUGAUUAUAAUGACUGUAGUCGGAAAAUAAGCCCCGGCUAACUUCGUGCCAGCAGCCGCGGUAAUACGAAGGGGGCGAGCGUUAUUCGGAAUCACUGGGCGUAAAGCGUGCGUAGGCGGUCUCGUAAGUUAGGAGUGAAAGCCCAGGGCUCAACCUUGGAAUUGCUCUUAAAACUGCAAGGCUCGAAUCUCGGAGAGGAUAGCGGAAUUUCCAGUGUAGCAGUGAAAUGCGUAGAUAUUGGAAGGAACACCAGUGGCGUAAGCGGCUAUCUGGACGAGUAUUGACGCUGAGGCACGAAAGCGUGGGGAUCAAACAGGAUUAGAAACCCCAGUAGUCC
rnacentral:rRNA from 1 species